UUGACCUCGGAUCAGGUAGGAAUACCCGCUGAACUUAAGCAUAUCAAUAAGCGGAGGAAAAGAAACCAACAGGGAUUGCCCUAGUAACGGCGAGUGAAGCGGCAACAGCUCAAAUUUGAAAUCUGGCCUUGGCCCGAGUUGUAAUUUGUAGAGGAUGCUUUUGGUGCGGUGCCUUCUGAGUUCCCUGGAACGGGACGCCAGAGAGGGUGAGAGCCCCGUAUAGUCGGACACCAAGCCUCUGUAAAGCACCUUCGACGAGUCGAGUAGUUUGGGAAUGCUGCUCAAAAUGGGAGGUAAAUUUCUUCUAAAGCUAAAUACCGGCCAGAGACCGAUAGCGCACAAGUAGAGUGAUCGAAAGAUGAAAAGCACUUUGAAAAGAGGGUUAAACAGCACGUGAAACAAUUGGAAGGGAAGCGCUCAUGAUCAGACUUGUGCCUUGCAAAUCAUCCAGCGUUCUCGCUGGUGCACUUUGCUUGGUUCAGGCCAGCAUCGGUUUUCUUAGGGGGAUAAAAGCUCUGGGAAUGUAGCUCCUUCGGGAGUGUUAUAGCCUGUUGCAUAAUACCUUUGAGGGGACCGAGGUUCGCGCUCUGCAAGGAUGCUGGCGUAAUGGUCAUCAGCGGCCCGUCUUGAAACACGGACCAAGGAGUCAAGCAUUAGGGCGAGUGUUUGGGUGUAAAACCCGCACGCGGAAUGAAAGUAAACGUAGGUGAGAGCUUCGGCGCAUCAUCGACCGAUCCUGAUGUAUUCGGAUGGAUUUGAGUAAGAGCCUUACCGCUUGGACCCGAAAGAUGGUGAACUAUGCCUGUAUAGGGUGAAGCCAGAGGAAACUCUGGUGGAGGCUCGCAGCGGUUCUGACGUGCAAAUCGAUCGUCAAAUAUGGGCAUGGGGGCGAAAGACUAAUCGAACUAUCUAGUAGCUGGUUACCGCCGAAGUUUCCCUCAGGAUAGCAGUGUUGUUUUCAGUUUUAUGAGGUAAAGCGAAUGAUUAGGGACUCGGGGGCACUAUUUAGCCUUCAUCCAUUCUCAAACUUUAAAUAUGUAAGAAGCCCUUGUUGCUUUGUUGAACGUGGGCCUUCGAAUGUAUCAACACUAGUGGGCCAUUUUUGGUAAGCAGAACUGGCGAUGCGGGAUGAACCGAACGCGGGGUUAAGGUGCCGGAGUGGACGCUCAUCAGACACCACAAAAGGUGUUAGCACAUCUGGACAGCAGGACGGUGGCCAUGGAAGUCGGAAUCCGCUAAGGACUGUGUAACAACUCACCUGCCGAAUGUGCUAGCCCUGAAAAUGGAUGGCGCUCAAGCGUCCCACCCAUACCCCGCCCUUAGGGUAGAAACGAUGCCCUAAGGAGUAGGCGGCCGUGAAGAUCAGUGACGAAGCCUAGGGCGUGAGCCCGGGUUGAACGAUCUUCAGUGCAGAUCUUGGUGGUAGUAGCAAAUACUUCAAUGAGAACUUGAAGGACCGAAGUGGGGAAAGGUUUCAUGUGAACAGCAGUUGGACAUGAGUUAGUCGAUCCUAAGCCAUAGGGAAGUUCCGUUUCAAAGGGGCACUUGUGCCUCGUGUGGCGAAAGGGAAGCAGGUUAAUAUUCCUGCACCUGGAUGUGGGUUUUUCGCGGCAACGCAACUGAACGCGGAGACGACGGCGGGGGCCCCGGGCAGAGUUCUCUUUUCUUCUUAACGGUCCACCACCCUGGAAACAGUUUGUCUGGAGAUAGGGUUUAACGGCCGGAAGAGCCCAGCACCUCUGUUGGGUCCGGUGCGCUCUCGACGUCCCUUGAAAAUCCGCGGGAAGGAAUAAUUCUCGCGCCAGCUCGUACUCAUAACCGCAGCA
rnacentral:rRNA from 1 species